rnacentral:rRNA from 1 species
UACGUAGGGGGCGAGCGUUGUCCGGAUUCAUUGGGCGUAAAGAGCUCGUAGGCGGCUUGGUAAGUCGGGUGUGAAACCCCCAGGCUCAACCUGGGGCCGCCACCCGAUACUGCCAUGGCUAGAGUCCGGUAGGGGACCACGGAAUUCCUGGUGUAGCGGUGAAAUGCGCAGAUAUCAGGAGGAACACCGGUGGCGAAGGCGGUGGUCUGGGCCGGAACUGACGCUGAGGAGCGAAAGCGUGGGGAGCAAA